CAGUUGGCUUGUCCCGCAAUGUGGUUUUCGCUGUCACUCCCAUAAUCCACAUCCGGGUCCUCCUCCUCCUCAUCGUACUCCUCGUAAAUCUCUCCGUUGAUGUCCUCAGCCUGGAUCUCCUCCUUGAUGUGAGGCUCCUCCCCCUUCACGCCAUAAGUGCUCUGAAUCACGGGCAUCCCGGGCUCCGGGCUGCUGGACACACUCGAGUGCUCUGAGGGCAGGUGAGGGGACGGCAUUCCGGCCAUGGCGAUGGCGCCUGGGUACACGACGCCAGCCGUAGCGAUGGGGAUCUGUGCUUGUUGCCUGCCACAGAAAGAGAAGCUCACAGCAAUAUUUACAACAGCCAUCUAGAGACCACUAAUUGAAGCAUCUUCGUCUGAGUGGAGAGCUCCUGUGCUCCUUCCUGCUCACUAUUUCUGAGGAAAGCCCCCAGCUCUGAGUCUCUAAAGCCUUUCCCUUAUCUCUGGGAAGGAGCAUCAGAUAACUCUGCUAAGAUUAACUGCGUCAGUUUCUGAAGCGCCAACACCGCUCAAGCUAGCCCCAUCCAUCAGACGACUGGUGAAGUGUCCGUGAGGAAUGAUGGAUGUAAAAUUAUCACCGGGGUGCCAUGGGAUGCACUUACUGUCAUUUGUAACUAAUGCUCUCAAGCCACACACUUUUUUCCCACUAUUAAACAUCUGCAUUAAGUCUA